GGUGAACGCUGGCGGCGUGCCUAAUACAUGCAAGUCGAGCGAACGGACGAGAAGCUUGCUUCUCUGAUGUUAGCGGCGGACGGGUGAGUAACACGUGGAUAACCUACCUAUAAGACUGGGAUAACUUCGGGAAACCGUAGCUAAUACCGGAUAAUAUUUUGAACCGCAUGGUUCAAAAGUGAAAGACGGUCUUGCUGUCACUUAUAGAUGGAUCCGCGCUGCAUUAGCUAGUUGGUAAGGUAACGGCUUACCAAGGCAACGAUGCAUAGCCGACCUGAGAGGAUGGUGAGGCACACUGGAAUCGAGACACGGACCGGAGUCCUACGGGAGGCAGCAGGGGGGAAGAGUGGAGAAUGGGCGAAAGCCUGAUCCAGCCAUGCCGCGGGUGUGAAGAAGGUCUUCGGAUGGUAAAACACUUUAAGUGGCGAGGAAGGGCAGUGAGGUAAUACCUUGCUGUCGUGACGUUACCAACAGAAGAAGCACCGGCUAACUUCGUG
rnacentral:rRNA from 1 species